rnacentral:rRNA from 1 species
UACGUAGGGUGCAAGCGUUGUCCGGAUUUAUUGGGCGUAAAGAGCUCGUAGGCGGUUCGGUAAGUCGGCGGUGAAAUCUCCACGCUCAACGUGGAGGGGUCCGUCGAUACUGCUGUGACUCGAGUCCGGUAGGGGAGUGUGGAAUUCCCGGUGUAGCGGUGAAAUGCGCAGAGAUCGGGAGGAACACCCGUAGCGAAGGCGGCACUCUGGGCCGGUACUGACGCUGAGGAGCGAAAGCGUGGGGAGCGAACAGG